ACCACCUCACUAGAGCCACAUGUACUAUCAGCAAUGGAACCAUUGGCACCACAUCGCACCAGUGAAAAACGAAAACCUUACAAAAAUAUAUUAUAUGGAUGAAUUCAUAAGCCCGAAAAAAAAUCAAUAACGAUGGAGAACUUCAAUAGCUAGUUGCUUCCUGGGAGCCUUUCCUUCCGGGAAAAUACAAUUCUUAUUCAAAUACAUCAUCAACCUAUGACUGCUGUAACAUUCUCUUCCCCAAUCAAAAUCUGAAUCUAAAGGAAAGCUGAGGCUGAAAGAAUACAAUAUGAUAAAAGCACUUGCAUUCAAGGUUAGGAUAAACAAUACAUAGAAAAAAAUAAAACCAAAAAUGCUUUUCAGUAGUAACAAACCCCUGCUGUUAGCUAAACCAAUCAAUCUUGUGAUGUGAACAUUACAUAAAAUAGUUUAGUUUUUCACCCCUACAAGUUGUGGGGAAACAGAUCACAAGUGCUUUUAAUUAUCUCGAUUAUAAAAACAUAUUACAUGGAUGAAUUCAUAAGCAGAAAAAAUCAAUAACAAUGGAGAACCUUAGUAGUAAGUUGCUUCCUGGGAGCCUUUCCUUUAGUGGACUUAUGAGUAGUUUGCUUCGUACGAGCCAUCUACACACAGAUUAGAACCACCAACACUUUGUCGGCUAUAGAACCCCACUACCAUCACUGGCUGUACGCAGAUUAGAUGCACCACCAACCAUCAAAAACACAGAUCCAACCAUCAGCCUUCUUACUCUACCCACAGAUUAGAACCACUAUAACCAUUGCUGGUUGUAUGCGAUGACGACGAUGGUGCAGUAGGGCCAUAGAUGUUGGGCAUAGGUUGCAGUGGCGUCGCUUCUCAAGUAGUAGACAUCAUCGAAAUCAAAGAUCAAGUGGAAUUAUUCUCUCACAGCGUCGGAGUAGUGUGGUAGUCGAUCACCGUAGAUAGAAAAUAGAAAGAGAGGAACGAGAGAGAGAAAGAGUAUGGAGAAU
rnacentral:lncRNA from 1 species